rnacentral:tRNA from 1 species
GCCAGGGUAGCUCAACCCGGCAGAGCAGCGCUUUCAUAAGGCGCCUGUUGUCGGUUCAAAUCCGACCCCUGGCACGA